rnacentral:rRNA from 1 species
UACGUAGGGGGCAAGCGUUGUCCGGAUUUAUUGGGCGUAAAGGGCGCGUAGGCGGUUUCUUAAGUUUGGAGUGACAGUGGGUGGCUUAACUACCCAAGGCCUCUGAAAACUGGGGAACUUGAGGACCAGAGAGGGACAUAGAAUUCCGGGUGGAGUGGUGAAAUGCGUAGAUAUCCGGAGGAUACCAAAGGCGAAGGCAGUGUCCUGGAGGGUGACUGACGCUGAGGCGCGAAAGCUAGGGGAGCGAACAGG